rnacentral:tRNA from 1 species
GGGUGCAGUGAUGGGUCAAAAGCAAUUGGCUUUUAACCAAUUGGUCGCAGGUUCGAAUCCUGCACGACCCACCA